AACUUUUGACAACGGAUCUCGUGGCUCUCGCAUCGAUGAAGAACGCAGCGAAAUGCGAUAAGUAAUGUGAAUUGCAGAAUUCAGUGAAUCAUCGAAUCUUUGAACGCACCUUGCGCCCUUUGGCUAUUCUGAAGGGCAUGCCUGUUUGAGUAUCAUGAACACCUCAACUUUCAUGGUCCGCCAUGAUGAGCUUGGACUUUGGGGGUCUUGCCGGCCUAGGGCCGGCUCCUCUCAAAUGGAUCAGCUUGCCAGUGUUUGGUGGCGUCACAGGUGUGAUAACUAUCUACGCUUGUGGUUUUCUGCCAUAUAACCUUCAGUGAUGGAGGUUCUCUGGAGCUCACAGAUGUCUCUCCUUGGGGAGGACAGCUUUUGAACGUUUGAUCUCAAAUCAGGUAGGACUACCCGCUGAACUUAAGCAUAUCAAUAAGCGGAGGCU
rnacentral:misc_RNA from 1 species